UAGGGAAUCUUCGGCAAUGGGGGCAACCCUGACCGAGCAACGCCGCGUGAGUGAAGAAGGUUUUCGGAUCGUAAAGCUCUGUUGUAAGAGAAGAACGUGUGUGAGAGUGGAAAGUUCACACAGUGACGGUAACUUACCAGAAAGGGACGGCUAACUACGUGCAAGCAGCCGCGGUAAUACGUAGGUCCCGAGCGUUGUCCGGAUUUAUUGGGCGUAAAGCGAGAGUAGGCGGUUUAAUGAGUCUGAAGUUAAAGGCAGUGGCUUAACCUUUGUACGCUUUGGAAACUGGUGAGCUUGAGUGCACAAGGGGAGAGUGGAAUUCCAUAUAUCGCGUUAAAAUGCGUCAGUAUAUGGAGGAACACCUGUGGCGAAAGCGGUUCUCUGGUCUGUAACAGACGCUGAGGCUCCAAAGCGUAGGGGACAAACAGG
rnacentral:rRNA from 1 species